UCCAGCUCACCUUUUUGCCACAACAAUCCAAAUUAAUCUAUUUUAGUCAAUGUAAUUCUGAGGUUGAUAUAAGUGCACCUUUUCAACAGUAAACUAUGUUUGUGGUAAGGGAUGUCACUAAUUUUCUCUUUCUCACAUAGGCUAUUUUGCCAGAAAAAAAGGAUGCAGUGGAGCAUAGCAUACUUAGAAAAAAACUAACACGUGGAGGACGUGAGCUGAUGCUGGCUGCUGGCACAAUGUCAGAUCCAGACAUAUCCCUUAGGAGUUUGCCCCACCACCACGGAAAAAUAAGCCACUGAAGGAUCUAACACAGCGACAUAAAAAACCCCAGAAAGACAUAGAAACGUCAGUUCCACAGGCCAGACCUACUCCACCUCCUCCCUGCCUAUCGGAUUAUUUCCCUUCACCUACACCACAGAGAUGCCAAAGGGCCCAGGAUUUCUUCAAUUCACCUCCACCACAGGGAUGCCAAUGGCCAAAGGAUUUCUUCAAUUCACCUCCACCACAGGG